rnacentral:rRNA from 1 species
AUGCUCUUGAUGACCCUCUGGCGGGUGUGGCACAAUCGAAAUGAAGUAACCCAUGGUAAGGUCCCACCUCUGUUGGAGGUGUCAAGGAGCUUUCUUGCUAGUUAUUUGGACUCAUUGGUGGCCAUCAAAAGUUCAGAUUGCGACCAGAACAAGGGGAAACAUACUAUCUCGUACGAGCAUCUGUCCAACUAUACACACACUGCGGCGGCUGCAGUUCCUGAUGUCAAAUGGACGCUGCCACCGGCGGGAUGGACAAAGCUUAACAUCGACGGGUCUUGGACUGUUGAUGACCGAGCAGGUGCUGGAAUGGUUCUUCGUGAUUGUACUGGCCUAUCUAUCGCUUUACAGAGAACUGAGCUUCCGAUUCAGGUGGAGAUGGAUUCUUUGGAGGUAGUAAAUAUGAUCAUGCUAACACGAAUAGAUCCAUUUUUGCUUCUUUGGUGCGUGAGAUUAAGCUCUUAA